AUUGGGCCUAAGCAUCCGUAGCCGGUUGCAUAAGUUUUCGGUUAAAUCUAUGCGCUCAACGUAUAGGCCGCCGAAAAUACUGUGCAGCUAGGGAGUGGGAGAGGUACACGGUACUCAGUAGGAAGGGGUAAAAUCCUUUGAUCUAUUGAUGACCACCUGUGGCGAAGGCGGUGUACCAGAACACGUUCGACGGUGAGGGAUGAAAGCUGGGGGAGCAAACCGGAUUAGAUACCCGGGUAGUCCCAGCUGUAAACGAUGCAGACUCGGUGAUGCAUUGGCUUGUGGCCAAUGCAGUGCCGCAGGGAAGCCGUUAAGUCUGCCGCCUGGGAAGUACGUACGCAAGUAUGAAACUUAAAGGAAUUGGCGGGGGAGCAC
rnacentral:rRNA from 2 species